UACAGAGGCCCCGAGCGUUAUCCGGAAUUAUUGGGCGUAAAGGGUGUGUAGGUGGCGUUGUUAGUCUUUUGUGAAAGACCCGAGCUUAACUUGGGAAACGCGAGGGAAACGGCAAUGCUUGAGUAUGUGAGAGGUAAGCAGAACUCAUGGUGUAGGGGUGAAAUCCGUUGAUAUCAUGGGGAAUACCAAAAGCGAAGGCAGCUUACUGGCGCAUUACUGACACUGAAACACGAAAGCAUGGGUAGCGAAUGGG
rnacentral:rRNA from 1 species